rnacentral:lncRNA from 1 species
GUUGUGAAAAAAGCCUCCUCAACACCAUCACCAUGGUGAAUAUCAAUGUCUAUAUACAAUACACGCUGCAGAAAACACUCAACAUUUCAGAGGAACAGUAACUCAGAAGAAUCUCUAUUACAUGCAAAAAAUUCAGAAAACACUCAACAUUUCAGAGGAACAGUAACUCGGAAGAAUCUCUAUUCCAUGCAAAAAAUUGGAUCCAAGCAAAAGAUCCUGUGAAGCCAUAGCUUAUUAUUGUAUGUAAAGACAAACAUGCUACAAUUAUCCAGAUCCCAUAGUUAAUUUUUUAUCAAGUAAGCAACUUUUCAUAAAUGAAUGGGGCAAAACAAAAGCACACAUACACAAGAGGUAUACCAAAAAGUAUAGAACCUACAAAAAGCUAUGGUUCUCUACAAUAGACACCCAAUCUUCCAUACAACAAGUAGCUUCAUGGCUGCACCAAAAGAAAACAAGGGAAAAGCUACUUCUCAACUGCAUUAAACUCAUCUCUAUACCUUCAAAAGCUCUUAUGUUUCUUUCUUUCCAAAUAACCCACAUGAUUGCUAGUGGAGCAACAGUCCAUGCCCUGCACCUUAUAUUUGAUAAGCAGAGAAAUGACAAGCAAUCAACUAAGUUCCAUUCCCUAGAAAUCUUACAGAUUAGUACUUAGUAAGUUCUAUUGAGACUCAAUGUGAUUAAUCACUUGAGUGGAGUUUUAACAAAUAUAUGUACGUAGAGGUGCAGUACUUAACCUAGUAAUUAGUAAGUUCUAUUGAGACUCAAUGUGAUUAAUCACUAGAGUGGAGUUUUAACAAAUAUAUGUAGGUAGAGGUGGAACUAGAUUGUAACUUGAAAUUGUAAUGUGUUGAUAUUUCUUUUAACUUGUCUUUAUGAUACGUGAGAUGUUUCCAUAGAGAUAUUACAGAUCUAUCUUAGCUAAUACAAAGAUAAUAGGCAGGUGUUUUCAUAUUCUGCAGCAUAGAUUUGACAAAAUAAAAUUCAAGUUAUCGGCUUUACUGAACUUUAAACUAGGGACUUAUUCCAUUUCCUCAUACAAGUAAUUUAAGCUUCCAUACCUUCAAUAAUUCAUAAAGAUGGUAACUAUGAUUUAUUCCCUGCACAUAACACUUCUUUCAAGUUCCACCAAAUGCUACGACCUGAAUCAACAAAUCCACAAGGACAUAAACCAUGGACAUCAUGCAUACCCUUUUGUUUGCUUCAUCCUCAAAAUGGUCAACCAGAAACUUACACAUAAGGGCAGGGCCACAUAAUGCAUUAGACACAGAAAUUUGUUUUCACCCAAUGUACAAAAACAUGAGAAAGUACAAAGCACCCUACUAAAUGUCGGCAUCAUCAGUUCUUUAGAUGAGUUGUAAUUCUUUCUUUUUUUAGUAAAUACAAAAUGGUUAUUACAUUUUAGGGUGUUCACGGUUCAAUUUAACUCGAUUUUUACCUAAAACUAAACCAAACUAACCAUGCCAGUUUACUAAAUAUAUAAACCAAACCAAAAGAAUCGGUUUUAUGGUUUCCGCUUUUCUCGUUUUUAAGGAUAUAUUAGCCACAGUAAAUAGAAAUUCAUUGAAUUAAAUCUAUUAGAUCUACAAAUAAAGAAUUUCAUAUGUCAAUAUAUGUUUACUAAAAAUCGAACAGAUUGAUAAACAUAUGAUUUAAU